UCCGGUUGAUCCUGCCGGACCCGACUGCUAUCGGGGUGAGGCUAAGCCAUGGGAGUCGCGCGCCCAGCCGCCGCUGGGCGCGGCGCACGGCUGAGUAACACGUAGCUAACCUACCCUCGGGACGGGGAUAACCCCGGGAAACUGGGGCUAAUCCCCGAUAGGCGAGGGGGCCUGGAAUGGUCCCUCGCCGAAAGGGACCCUGGGGGGUUAUCGCCUGGGGCCCGCCCGAGGAUGGGGCUGCGGCCCAUCAUGGUAGUUGGCGGGGUAAUGGCCCGCCAAGCCGACGACGGGUAGGGGCCGUGGGAGCGGGAGCCCCCAGAUGGGCCCUGAGACAAGGGCCCAGGCCCUACGGGGCGCACCAGGCGCGAAACCUCCGCAAUGCGGGAAACCGUGACGGGGUCACCCCGAGUGCUCCCGUAAGGGAGCUUUUCCCCGCUGCAAGGAGGCGGGGGAAUAAGCGGGGGGCAAGUCUGGUGUCAGCCGCCGCGGUAAUACCAUCCCCGCGAGUGGUCGGGACGUCUACUGGGCCUAAAGCGCCCGUAGCCGGCCCCGUAAGUCCCUCCUGAAAGCCCUGGGCUCAACCCAGGGAGUGGGGGGGAUACUGCGGGGCUAGGGGGCGGGAAAGGCCGGGGGUACCCCAGGGGUAGGGGCGAAAUCCGAUAAUCCCUGGGGGACCACCAGUGGCGAAAGCGCCCGGCUGGAACGCGCCCGACGGUGAGGGGCGAAAGCCGGGGGAGCGAACCGGAUUAGAUACCCGGGUAGUCCCGGCUGUAAACGAUGCGGGCUAGGUGUCGGGCGGGCGUUAGAGCCCGCCCGGUGCCGCAGGGAAGCCGUUAAGCCCGCCGCCUGGGGAGUACGGCCGCAAGGCUGAAACUUUAAGGAAUUGGCGGGGGGGCACACAAGGGGUGGAGCCUGCGGCUCAAUUGGAGUCAACGCCGGG
rnacentral:rRNA from 1 species